UACAGAGGGUGCAAGCGUUAAUCGGAUUUACUGGGCGUAAAGGGCGCGUAGGUGGUUACGUAAGUGAGAUGUGAAAUCCCCGGGCUUAACCUGGGAACUGCAUCUUAUACUGCGUAGCUUGAGUGCAGUAGAGGGUAGUGGAAUUUCCGGUGUAGCGGUGAAAUGCGCAGAUAUCAGGAGGAACACCAAUGGCGAAGGCAGCUCGCUGGGACGGUACUGACGCUGAGACGCGAAAGCGUGGGGAGCAAACAGG
rnacentral:rRNA from 1 species